rnacentral:misc_RNA from 1 species
AACUUUUGGCAACGGAUCGCGUGGUUCUGGCAUCGAUGGAGAACGCAGCGAAAUGGGAUAAGUAAUGUGAAUUGCAGGAUUCAGUGAACCAUCGAAUCUUUGAACGCACAUUGCGCCCGGCAGUAAUCUGCCGGGCAUGCCUGUCCGAGCGUCAUUUCUGACCUCGAGCGCGUCCAGCGUUUCGGGGCUGCGACCGCCCGGCGUUGGGGCGCUACGGGGAGCCUUCUGGCUAUCCCCCGUAGGCCCCGAAAUGAAGUGGCGGUCCUGCCGCGGCGCCCCCUGCGUAGUAUUACAGCUCGCAUCGGGUCCCGGUGGAGGCCAUCCGUCAAACCUUACUUUCUAAGUUUGACCUCGGAUCAGGUAGGGUUACCCGCUGAACUUAAGCAUAUCAAUAAGCGGAGGCU